rnacentral:rRNA from 1 species
AUUGAACGCUGGCGGCAUGCCUUACACAUGCAAGUCGAACGGUAGAGUAGCAAUACUUGAGAGUGGCGAACGGGUGAGUAAUAUAUCGGAACGUGCCCAGUCGUGGGGGAUAACGUAGUGAAAAUUACGCUAAUACCGCAUACGAUCUACGGAUGAAAGCGGGGGAUCGCAAGACCUCGCGCGAUUGGAGCGGCCGAUAUCAGAUUAGGUAGUUGGUGAGGUAAAGGCUCACCAAGCCAACGAUCUGUAGCUGGUCUGAGAGGACGACCAGCCACACUGGAACUGAGACACGGUCCAGACUCCUACGGGAGGCAGCAGUGGGGAAUAUUGGACAAUGGGCGAAAGCCUGAUCCAGCAAUGCCGCGUGAGUGAUGAAGGCCUUAGGGUUGUAAAGCUCUUUUACCAGGGAUGAUAAUGACAGUACCUGGAGAAUAAGCUCCGGCUAACUCCGUG